AGAGUUUGAUCCUGGCUCAGGAUGAACGCUGGCGGCGUGCUUAACACAUGCAAGUCGAACGAAGCAGCAGAGACAGAAGCCUUCGGGUGGAAGACUUUGUUGACUGAGUGGCGGACGGGUGAGUAACGCGUGGGUAACCUGCCUUACACAGGGGGAUAACAGUUAGAAAUGACUGCUAAUACCGCAUAAGACCACGGCACCACAUGGUGCAGGGGUAAAAACUGAGGUGGUGUAAGAUGGGCCCGCGUCUGAUUAGCUAGUUGGUGGGGUAAGAGCUCACCAAGGCGACGAUCAGUAGCCGACCUGAGAGGGUGACCGGCCACAUUGGGACUGAGACACGGCCCAAACUCCUACGGGAGGCAGCAGUGGGGAAUAUUGCACAAUGGGGGAAACCCUGAUGCAGCGACGCCGCGUGAGUGAGGAAGUAUUUCGGUAUGUAAAGCUCUAUCAGCAGGGAAGGAAAUGACGGUACCUGACUAAGAAGCCCCGGCUAACUACGUGCCAGCAGCCGCGGUAAUACGUAGGGGGCAAGCGUUAUCCGGAUUUACUGGGUGUAAAGGGAGCGUAGACGGUAGUGCAAGUCUGAUGUGAAAGCCCGGGGCUCAACCCCGGGACUGCAUUG
rnacentral:rRNA from 1 species